rnacentral:rRNA from 1 species
CCCGCUGAACUUAAGCAUAUCAAUAAGCGGAGGAAAAGAAACUAACAAGGAUUCCCCUAGUAACUGCGAGUGAAGCGGGAAAAGCUCAAAUUUAAAAUCUGGUGGUCUUUGGCCAUCCGAGUUGUAAUUUAGAGAAGCGUCUUCCGCGCUGGACCAUGCAUAAGUCUCCUGGAAUGGAGCGUCAUAGAGGGUGAGAAUCCCGUCUUUGGCAUGGACCCCCAGGGCUUCUGUGAUGCGCUCUCAAAGAGUCGAGUUGUUUGGGAAUGCAGCUCAAAAUGGGUGGUGAACUCCAUCUAAAGCUAAAUAUUGGCGAGAGACCGAUAGCGAACAAGUACCGUGAGGGAAAGAUGAAAAGAACUUUGAAAAGAGAGUUAAACAGUACGUGAAAUUGUUGAAAGGGAAACGUUUGAAAUCAGUCAUUUCUUCUGGAAAUCAGCCUUGCUUUUGCAUGGUGUAUUUUCCAGUUGAAAGGUUAACGUCAAUUUUGGUUGUCGGAUAAAAGCCUUUGGAAUGUGGCUCUCUUCGGGGAGUGUUAUAGCCAAGGUCAAUGCGAUGACUGGGAUUGAGGAUUCGCCGCCAAUGCUCUCUGGGCAGUGGCAUCAUGCGCUCAGGUUAACACUCUGCUAGACAGCUUGCUGACUAGUAGUUUGAAGAUUUGACUCGUGUGGUUCCCACUCAUUGGCGUAGGACGUUAACUUAAUGGUUUUAAACGACCCGUCUUGAAACACGG